AAACCAGCACCUCAAGUGGUCAGGAGGAUUAUUGGGCCUAAAGCAUCCGUAGCCUGUUCUAUAAGUUUCCGGUUAAAUCCACUAGCUCAACUAGUGGGCUGCCGAAAAUACUGUAGAACUAGGGAGUGGGAGAGGUAGACGGUAUUCGGUAGGAAGGGGUAAAAUCCUUUGAUCUAUUGAGGACCACCUGUGGCGAAGGCGGUCUACCAGAACACGUCCGACGGUGAGGGAUGAAAGCUGGGGGAGCAAACCGGAUUAGAAACCCCAGUAGUCC
rnacentral:rRNA from 1 species